UUGGAGAGAGAGAUGGAUUGGUGCCUACGACGCGCUGGUCGACGCGGCGGCCACCGCAGUCCGCGAGCCCGGGUGUAUGGUGGCGCUCACGGACCUCCACCGCUGCCUCGAUGCCUUCAGCGAGUCCUGCGACCGAGCCAAGGGCCUCGUCCAGGCGGCCGCCGCUGGCCUCGGCCCCGCCGCCACCCGCCACGACGAGCUGUGCCGCGCCGUGCGCGCGGUCGACAAGGAUCUCCGAGCCGCCGAGGAGAACGAGAUGGAAGAGGAGAAGCAUCGCCCUCCGACCACGCCACUGGUGGCCUAGGACAAAUAGCCCAAUCGAUCUACCUCUUCUCCUGUUGAAGUGAUGUUCAUCGUUCUUGUUUUUUCCAUGUGAUGUUCAUCGUUCCUUUUAUUUUCUUGCUUGAUGUGCUAAUCGUGUUAGUCAUCUAGAAGAUGAAUGAAACUGUGACGGGAAAGGACAGAUGGACUGGAUAUAUUGCCUCGCCAUGCCACAUGGUGGCCGAGAUGCGGCAGCCCCAUGCUCUGUUUCGAUGGGCCUCCUAUGCUCGAUGAUGCUGCUGGUUGAGUUUGGUACGGUUUUCCUGUUGUCGCUUGCGUCGAGCCUUGGGUCCGUCUCUCCUUCUCAUUGAGCCUACUUCUCCUAUCGCUGGCGCUUCUUCUUCUCGUCGGUCCUGCUGCUUACCCAACCUUUUGCUUGCUGCCUCGGGUUGCACGAUCUCUGAUGUAGCUGCGUCGUUUGACUCAUCAAGAUAUACCACGGAGGGAAGAUCUGCCUCACUGUGCACUUCAGGCGCGUGCACACUAGCGAUGGUACAAGAUUGGCUUCCUGGUGGAAUCAGGUGCGCGUCGUCCAUGGUGGCCUGUCGUGGGUGUUGGUGGGCGGCUGGAGGCGGCUGUAGCAGACUCUAGAAUCGCUAAGGUUGCUCCUUCUCUGUUCCUUUGGUCAAGGUGUCGUGUUUGUGUGUUUGUUUUUGUGGCGCUGCUUAUAUGUGUGACUACCGUAUGAUCGUAUAUAUAUGCUGAAAGGGAACCCCUCCUGGUCGAGCCCCUAGCCCCCCACCUUGGCAGCUGCCUGGAGAGGAGGAUAGCUCGAGGACAACUCCCAAUGUGCCGAGGAGAUGGGAAUAUGAUAAGUCGACACAUAAUAAGGAUCAGAAGAACAACAGAUAUGCUAAAAGACAAACCUUUUGGGGUUAAGGAUAUAAACAACAACAAAGCUUAUGAGGCCGAAGAGAGCUCGAGUGGCGUCUUUUGGUUCUUGAAGACCUGCACGUUCCUGGUGGAGUAGAGCAAAAUAAUUUGGAGGCUUUAAAGCUACUGCACUUCAUGUAUUUAGGAUCAAUUCUUUGUUUUAGUUUGAAAUAUUCCCCAUUUCCUCCUAUUUGAUUGAUUCAUCUGAUGAACAUUUUGUCACGCAAAUAAACAAAAGGCAUAUGUAUUGUUACGAGUGAAGCCAUCCAUACUCCCAUGUGGAAUUCAAGAAAUAGAAAAAUGUUAUUGUUCUUGUACUAAUUGUUUGCUUGGCCAAAUGUACUGUAAAUGAUUUAUUAUUGUUCAA